rnacentral:tRNA from 1 species
GGGGUUGUAGCUCAGUGGUGGAGCACUUGCCUUACAUGUAUGAAGCACUGGGUUUGAUCCUCAGCACCA